AUGAACUCCCUAGUCAUAGUGCUGUUUGGAAGACACUCCCCUGAAAGGGGACAAAACCUGGAUGAAAUGAACAUUGAGAGCAGGCUUGACCCGCAAGAUCGAGGAUACAGCAGCAGAGCACAGAGGCAGGCGGCAGAAGACAGAUGUGUUGUUACAGGAGAAAUGCACUCUCAGCUAAAGGAAAGGUCGGUCACAAACAGCAGCUCCAAGGACUGGUGAGGGUGCAGGUCUUGUUCCAAGGUAACCAGGUCUGACCUGCUCUGCAGAGAGUGGAAAGAAGGCAGGGUUAUAGACUGCUUAUUGUCCAUGAGUAGGCUCAAGACUCAGAGAUUUCACAGCCUGGAGGGAGCUUAGGUCUCUCAUCUCAGCUCAUAAUUGCUGCAGAAUAAGGAACCGAAAAAGCAGAGAAGUGAAGUGAUAGGCCCAGGCAGGCCAAAAGACCACAAGCCUAUUUUUUGUCAUUUUGGGGCUUGAAGGGCAUGAUAUGGGGGAGGUGUUGAGGGCCAGUUUAGCACACAUGCCUCCUCUUCCGGCUGGGAGUCACUGAGCAGCCCAGCAGAGAAGGUCUGGCAAAAAACAAGUAAUUGUAGAAGCAAUUACUCCAGGAUGACCUAUUUUGUAGACAGUGCUAGGUACCUGGCAUGUCUUAUUAAGGAAUUCACCAAAAAAAGAGAUAUUUUCCUUAGAAACUCUUCCAGCCUCCAAAAUCUGUUUCUAAUCGCCUUUGGCAGAACCUCCAGUCUGUUCUAGGCCCUGUGCUAGACAGAUGAAUCUAGGUGAAAUAAUGGAUGAAGAAGGCAUGUACUUCUAGGAUUUCUUAGUCUCACAGGGGAUCAGCACUGGAUAAGAAUGAUUGUGAUAUGGUAUGAUAAAUUUAAUAAUGUCUAUAGCACAGAAGAGGAAGUGAGUAAUUGCUGAGGGACAGGAACCCGGGGAGGUAGGCAGAGAAGGCGUCACAAAGGUGACAGAGAAGGUAUAGAAGCAAGAAUAGGAGCUCUUCAGACCUCCAACUCCAUUUUUAAAUUAACAGCAUUAAAUCAACCUUCUCUAAAACACCACUGUUAAUUCUUCAACGAUUUACAAAGCAACAGUUCUUACUCCAUCUACCUCUCAUUACAUAAUGGAAACCACACACACACACACAUAUAUAUACACCAU
rnacentral:lncRNA from 1 species